rnacentral:rRNA from 1 species
GACGAACGCUGGCGGCGUGCUUAACACAUGCAAGUCGAACGGAAAGGCCCUGCUUUUGUGGGGUGCUCGAGUGGCGAACGGGUGAGUAACACGUGAGUAACCUGCCCUUGACUUUGGGAUAACUUCAGGAAACUGGGGCUAAUACCGGAUAGGAGCUCCUGCUGCAUGGUGGGGGUUGGAAAGUUUCGGCGGUUGGGGAUGGACUCGCGGCUUAUCCGCUUGUUGGUGGGGUAGUGGCUUACCAAGGCUUUGACGGGUAGCCGGCCUGAGAGGGUGACCGGCCACAGUGGGACUGAGAUACGGCCCAGACUCCUGCGGGAGGCAGCAGUGGGGAAUAUUGCACAAUGGGCGGAAGCCGGAUGCAGCAACGCCGCGUGCGGGAUGACGGCCUUCGGGUUGUAAACCGCUUUCGCCUGUGACGAAGCGUGAGUGACGGUAAUGGGUAAAGAAGCACCGGCUAACUACGUG